GAAAUGCGAUAAUUAAUGUGAAUUGCAGAAUUCAGUGAAUCAUCGAGUCUUUGAACGCACAUUGCGCCCCCUGGUAUUCCGGGGGGCAUGCCUGUCCGAGCGUCAUUGCUGCCCUCAAGCACGGCUUGUGUGUUGGGCUUCCGUCCCUGGCAACGGGGACGGGCCCAAAAGGCAGUGGCGGCACCAUGUCUGGUCCUCGAGCGUACGGGGCUUUGUCACCCGCUCCCGUAGGUCCAGCUGGCAGCUAGCCUCGCAACCAAUCUUUUUAACCAGGUUGACCUCGGAUCAGGUAGGGAUACCCGCUGAACUUAAGC
rnacentral:misc_RNA from 1 species